rnacentral:rRNA from 1 species
GAGUUUGAUCCUGGCUCAGGACGAACGCUGGCGGCGUGCUUAACACAUGCAAGUCGAACGAUGAAGCCCAGCUUGCUGGGUGGAUUAGUGGCGAACGGGUGAGUAACACGUGAGUAACCUGCCCUUAACUCUGGGAUAAGCCUGGGAAACUGGGUCUAAUACCGGAUAGGAGCGUCCACCGCAUGGUGGGUGUUGGAAAGAUUUAUCGGUUUUGGAUGGACUCGCGGCCUAUCAGCUUGUUGGUGAGGUAAUGGCUCACCAAGGCGACGACGGGUAGCCGGCCUGAGAGGGUGACCGGCCACACUGGGACUGAGACACGGCCCAGACUCCUACGGGAGGCAGCAGUGGGGAAUAUUGCACAAUGGGCGAAAGCCUGAUGCAGCGACGCCGCGUGAGGGAUGACGGCCUUCGGGUUGUAAACCUCUUUCAGUAGGGAAGAAGCGAAAGUGACGGUACCUGCAGAAGAAGCACCGGCUAACUACGUGCCAGCAGCCGCGGUAAUACGUAGGGUGCGAGCGUUAUCCGGAAUUAUUGGGCGUAAAGAGCUCGUAGGCGGUUUGUCGCGUCUGUCGUGAAAGUCCGGGGCUUAACCCCGGAUCUGCGGUGGGUACGGGCAGACUAGAGUGCAGUAGGGGAGACUGGAAUUCCUGGUGUAGCGGUGGAAUGCGCAGAUAUCAGGAGGAACACCGAUGGCGAAGGCAGGUCUCUGGGCUGUAACUGACGCUGAGGAGCGAAAGCAUGGGGAGCGAACAGGAUUAGAUACCCUGGUAGUCCACGCCGUAAACGAUGAUAACUAGCUGUCCGGGCUCAUGGAGCUUGGGUGGCGCAGCUAACGCAUUAAGUUAUCCGCCUGGGGAGUACGGUCGCAAGAUUAAAACUCAAAGGAAUUGACGGGGGCCUACAACAAGUGGUGGAGCAUGUGGUUUAAUGCGAUAAUCCGCGCAAAACCUUACCAACCUUUGAAUAAAGAAUUUAAUUAUUUUUAAUAGUUUGAAAAAAUAAUUAGUUUUUAAAAAUCUUUACAGGUGUUGCACGUCUGCCGUCAGCUCGUGUCGUGAGAUGUUUGGUUAAUUCCUUUAACGAGCGUAACUCUUAUUUUUGUUAUAUUCAUAUCAAAAUUUUUUUUAAAUUUUUAUUACAAAAAUACUAGCAAUGAUAAAUUGAAGGAAGAAGAAUUAAGUCAAGUCACUGUGGCCUUUAUAGGUUGGGCUACACACGUGCUACAAUGAAAAAUACAAAAAGUUACUAAAAUUAAAUUGUUAAAGUUAAUCUUUAAAAUUUUUCUUAGUUCAGAUUAUAAGCUGAAACUCGCUUAUAUGAAGUUGGAAUCACUAGUAAUCGCAAAUCAGAAUGUUGCGGUGAAUAUGUAUCUUGGCCUUGUACACACCGCCCGUCACAUGCGAAAAGUUAAUUUUGCUUGAAAAUUUAGAUGAAUUAAAUUAAAUAUUAAUUUUAAUUUAAAUUUAUUGAAAAGUUAAUAAUUUGGAUGAAGUCGUAACAAGGUAGCUGUACGGGAACGUGUAGCUGGA